UUUAAAAGGAUCCAAUGGAUGCGAUGGAUCCAAAGGAUGCGAUGGAUAAAUAGAUAUCUAUCAGAUCCAUCAGAUCCUUUGGAUCCAUCAGAUCCUUUGGAUCCAUUGCAUCCAUUGGAUCCUUUUAA